UGGGGAAUAUUGCACAAUGGAGGAAACUCUGAUGCAGCGACGCCGCGUGAACGAUGAAGGCUUUCGGGUCGUAAAGUUCUGUCCUAAGGGAAGAUAAUGACGGUACCUUAGGAGGAAGCACCGGCUAACUACGUGCCAGCAGCCGCGGUAAUACGUAGGGUGCAAGCGUUGUCCGGAAUUAUUGGGCGUAAAGGGUUCGCAGGCGGCUUUUUAAGUCAGGUGUAAAAGAUCACGGCUCAACCGUGGUAAGCACUUGAAACUGAAAAGCUUGAGUCAAGGAGAGGAAAGUGGAAUUCCUAGUGUAGCGGUGAAAUGCGUAGAUAUUAGGAGGAAUACCAGUGGCGAAGGCGACUUUCUGGACUUGUACUGACGCUGAGGAACGAAAGCAUGGGGAGCAAACAGG
rnacentral:rRNA from 1 species